CAACGGUGAAACUCAAAGGAAUUGACGGGGGCCCGCACAAGCGGAGGAACAUGUGGUUUAAUUCGAUGAUACGCGAGGAACCUUACCCGGGUUUGAACGUAGUCCGACCGCGGUGGAAACACCGCUUCUAGCAAUAGCGGAUUACGAGGUGCUGCAUGGUUGUCGUCAGCUCGUGCCGUGAGGUGUCGGCUUAAGUGCCAUAACGAGCGCAACCCUUAUCACUAGUUACUAACAGGUCAUGCUGAGGACUCUGGUGAGACUGCCAGCGUAAGCUGUGAGGAAGGUGGGGAUGACGUCAAAUCAGCACGGCCCUUACGUCCGGGGCGACACACGUGUUACAAUGGCAGGUACAGCGGGAAGCCACCUGGCGACAGGGAGCGGAACCCGAAAGCCUGUCUCAGUUCGGAUUGGAGUCUGCAACCCGACUCCAUGAAGCUGGAUUCGCUAGUAAUCGCGCAUCAGCCACGGCGCGGUGAAUACGUUCCCGGGCCUUGUACACACCGCCCGUCAAGCCAUGGGAG
rnacentral:rRNA from 1 species